AACGCACAUUGCGCCCGGCAGCAAUCUGCCGGGCAUGCCUGUCCGAGCGUCAUUUCGACCCUCGAGCCCACUGCUGUCAGCAGCAGCCCCGGCUCGGUGUUGGGGCACUACAGUGGAGCGUGGCACGCCACGUCACCCCGUAGGCCCUGAAAUACAGUGGCGGUCCCGCCGCGGCGCCCCCUGCGAAGUAGUUCUUUUACAAGCUCGCUUUGGGUCCCGGUGGAGGCUAGCCGUCAAACCACUACUCUCAAGAUGGUUUGACCUCGGAUCAGGUAGGGUUACCCGCUGAACUUAA
rnacentral:misc_RNA from 1 species